GCCUUCUUAGUUCAGUGGCUAGAAUUUUCCACUAGUAGUUCGACCACGGCUCCUCAAGAGCAGUGAUCAUUGCUAUGGAACGGUCACCCGUUCGAUUCGGGUAGAAGGCA